rnacentral:pre_miRNA from 1 species
UCUUGUCUUAGAUUUGUCUAGAUACGGAUGUAUCUAAUACUAAAAUGUGACUUGAUACAUCUGUAUCUAGACAAAUCUAAGACAAGAAUUUUGGGACGGAGGGAGUACUUU